GAUGAACGCUGGCGGCGUGCCUAAUACAUGCAAGUCGAGCGAACGGACGAGAAGCUUGCUUUUCUGAUGUUAGCGGCGGACGGGUGAGUAACACGUGGAUCACCUACCUAUAAGACUGGGAUAACUUCGGGAAACCGGAGCUAAUACCGGAUAAUAUUUUGAACCGCAUGGUUCAAAAGUGAAAGACGGUCUUGCUGGCACUUAUAGAUGGAUCCGCGCUGCAUUAGCUAGUUGGUAAGGUAACGGCUUACCAAGGCAACGAUGCAUAGCCGACCUGAGAGGGUGAUCGGCCACACUGGAACUGAGACACGGUCCAGACUCCUACGGGAGGCAGCAGUAGGGAAUCUUCCGCAGUGGGCGAAAGCCUGACGGAGCAACGCCGCGUGAGUGAUGAAGGUCUUCGGAUCGUAAAACUCUGUUAUUAGGGAAGAACAGAUGUGUAAGUAACUGUGCACAUCUUGACGGUACCUAAUCAGAAAGCCACGGCUAACUACGUG
rnacentral:rRNA from 1 species